UCGGCCAAUCGCGUCGCGAGGUUGCCGGUGGAGUCGCGCCAUUUCCUGUUGUGUCGGUGAGGAGGGUUGGUUUUGUGGAUUAAAAUUACGUUUUUAUCAUUUUUAGAAGUACUACCAUCUUCAUUUCAUUGCAAGCUCAACUUUGAAGGGUUGACCUUCACGUCCAGUCACUGGAGGUUCCAUCACCGGCUGAGCGGGAGUGGUGGACGCGGCCAUGUCUCGUGCGGGGCCGUCGAGCGAGUCGGCGGCCAUCGUGUACCCGCCCGGGUGCCGCGAGAUCACCGAGGACCUCGGCCCAGAUGAGCUCAUCAGGCGCCUCAAGACGCUGGCGCACACGUACCAGUCGAUGGUGCAGGAUGACGGCGCCUACCAGGAGUACCUGCCGCUGGCCAAACACAUCGCCGACGACUACUUCCGCGAGUACCCCAGCAAGGACGUGCAGCUGCUGGUGGCCUGCUGCAUCGCCGACGUGCUCCGCGUAUACGCGCCCGAGGCGCCCUACAAGGACCCCGCUCAGGUCAAGAUGAUCUUCAUGUUCCUGAUAAAGCAGCUGGCCGGUCUGAAGGACCCCAAGGACCCGGCGUUCAAGCGCUACUUCUACCUUCUGGAGAACCUGGCCUACGUCAAGUCGUUCAACAUGUGCCUCGAGCUGGAGGAUAGCAACGAGAUCAUCUGUAGCCUCUUCUCGCUUACAUUCAAAAUUGUCAAUGACGAGCACUCGGGCAAGGUGAAGAGCUUCAUGCUGGACGUGCUCUGUCCUCUGAUCUACGAGUCAGACGUCGUCUCCAACGAGCUGAUGGACAUCAUCCUGAUGAACAUCGUGGAGCCGGCCAAGUCGUCACGGCGCAACGCCUAUCACCUGGCCAAGGAGCUCAUCAUGAAGUGCAGCGACACACUGGAGCCCUACAUCCAGGCGUUUUUCAACCACGUGCUGAUUCUGGGCAAGGAGGAGAAGAAGCUGGGCAUCUCGAGGAAGGUGUACGACCUGAUCUACGAGCUGAACCACAUCUGUCCCACCGUGCUGCUGGCAGUGGUGCCCCAGCUCGAGUUCAAGCUGAAGUCGACGGAGGAGGACGAACGAUUCCACGCCGUCAGUCUGCUGGCGCGCAUGUUCUCCGAGCAGGAGUCCAACCUGGCCAUGCACCACCGGCAGCUGUGGCUCGCCUUCCUCGGCAGGUUUAACGACAUCUCUGUGAAGAUCCGCACCAAGUGUGUGCAGUACUCGAUGCACUUUCUGCUGAACCACCCGGAGCUGCGCUCGGACAUCACGGAGACGCUGAAAUUCCGGCAGCACGACUCGGACGAGGCCGUCAGGUACGAGGUGGUGAUGGCCAUCGUCUCCACGGCCAAACGAGACUUCAGCAUCGUCUCGGAGAGCGAGGCGCUGCUCAACUUCGUCAAGGAGCGCACCUUAGACAAAAAGUUCAAGAUCCGCAAGGAGGCCAUGUGCGGUCUGGCCAUGAUCUACCGGAAGUACCUGAGUAACCCGGACGUACCGGAGGCCACGCGCACGGCCGUCACAUGGAUCAAGGACAAGAUCCUGCACGGCUACUACAUGACGAGCCUGGACGACCGACUUCUGGUGGAGCGCAUCGUCAACACGUGCCUGGUGCCGUUCACCCUGCCGCCCGGCGAGCGCAUGAAGAAACUCUACUACCUGUUUGCCACGCUCGACGAGAACGCCACCAAGGCCUUCAUCGAGAUGCAGAAACAGCAGCUGGCCGUCCGUAAGACGGUGCAGGAGCUGCUGGAGCUGCACCGCACGCCCGUCUCGGAGGAGCGCGAGCGGGAGAAGGUGCUGCGCAUCAACCACCUGUCCAAGUUCCUGCCGGACCCGGUCAAGGCGCAGGAGUUUAUCCGCAAGUUCUCCCAGCACCUGGCGCAGGAGGAGUCGCUGCUGCAGCUCAUGGAGACAGUCAUCAACCCGACCGUCUCCUGCCGGGAGAGCGUCGACAGCGUCAACAUGGUGCUGAAGCGGCUGGGCCAGCCGGUGAUGACCAACCUCUACUACAACACCAUCAAGCAGCUGCUGGAGCGCGUCUCGUCGGUGAUGAUCGACCACGACGCGCUGCUGGCGCUGGUCUCAAUGGUGGAGGAGGCGGUGCGCGACCCGGCCUCGGCGCAGGAGCUCAACAUCGAGCCGGGCGCGGCGGUGGGCCGCGGCCUGCGGCUGCUGUUCGUGCUGUCGUACGUGCAGGCGGCGCAGUUUCUGCACGCUGACAUUUUGGCCGUGCUGCUCGGCAUGCUCCAGACGGACGACGACACGGUGACGCCCAAGGUGCUGGGCGUGCUGCACUUUGUGGGCAAGUACCGGCCGCUGGCGUCCGAGUUCCCCGACCUGAUGGACAGCCUGGUGCCCGUCUGCCAGCAGCUGGCCACGGCCGGCUCGCCCAAGCAGGCCAAGCACGCCAUCCGCUGUCUGUUCGUCAACGUCACCGACAACCAGGAGGGCGUCUUCACCGAGAUACUCGAGCGUCUGAAGUCUGAGCUGGAGCUGGGCCACGAGCACUACCGCACGUCCAUCGUGUCACUGGGCCACAUCGCGCUCCACCUCUCCAACAAGUUCCCCAUCCAGAUCAAAAAUAUCGUCUCCAGGAAAAUCGUCAAGGACCUGCUGAUGCGGGACCUGACGGACAGCGGGGAGAGCGAGGAGGAGUGGUGUGAUGAGGACGCUCUGCCCGAGGGCAUCCGCUGCAAGAUCGAGGGCAUGAAGCUGAUGGCGCGCUGGCUGAUCGGCCUCAAGGACGACGUCAUCUCGGCGCAGAAGACGUUCCGCAUGCUGAUCGCCUUCAUCAUCCACCGCGGCGACCUUCUCGAGGAGGGCAAGGUCAAUAAGCCGGAGGCGGCCUGGCUGCGCUACGCGGCCGGCGCCGCCAUGCUGAAGAUCUGCGAGCAGAAGGGCGUCGGUGACCAGUUCACUGCCGACCAGUUCUACAGUCUCUCCCUGCUGAUGGCCGACGAGUGUCUCCAGGUGCGGGAGCGGUUUGCCGCCAAGCUGCACAAGGGCCUGAGCCGUGGCAUCCCGCACAAGUGUCUGCCGCUCGACUUUAUGGGCAUGUACGCGCUGGCCGGCCAGGAGCCCGACAAGCGGCUCAAGGCCACCGUGCGUGGGUACAUGGCCGCAGACAUCCUGAAGCGCCGCGACGUCAUCAAGAGCCUGCUGCUCAACGGAGGGUCGGAGCGGGCGGCCGACCAGCUGCCGCACAUCAUGCCCGACUACAUGCUGGUGUUCGCCGUGCCCAUCCUGGCGCACGACCCCGACUUUACCGAGUACGACGACGUCGAGUACCUGACCAAGAUCCGCGCCUGCCUCUGGUUCAUCCUUGAGCCGCUGAUCACCAAGAACGACAACUACUGUUUCGGCUUCUACAAGGCGCUGGUGGAGCGGAUGAAGAACCACCUGGACGCAGUGCGCAGUGAGGAGGAGGCCGCCAACCACAAACUGUGGGCCGUCUGUGACCUGGCCAUGGGCCUGCUGCUCACCAAGACAACCAACUUCGAGAUGCGCGAGUUCCCCUCGGAGCCGCGCAUCCCACCCAUGUACUUCCGCAAGCCGGCCGACCCCAACUUCGUCAACGGGAAGAUCUACCUGCCGCCCGAGCUGCAGCACCUGGGAAAGCGGAACAACAUGGUGUCGAUGGCGCACAGCCACAGCAUGAUCAACAAGCGCAUCCAGCUGGCGCAGCAGAUCCGCGCCUCCAAGGCCGGCGGCGGCGGCAGCGCGACUGAUUCGGGACCCUCCGGCCACCUACAGCCGGCGCGCCGCCCACGAGCGGGACAGAAACGACGACUCGGUGGAUAGCGCGGCCGGUGGUGACCUGUCGGAGCAGUCAUCGACCUUCUCAGACAGUCCUUCCAAGGACAAACAGGACAAAAUCACCAACUACUUCAAGAAGGCGCCGCGGACGGCGUCCCCGACCCCGAGCAGUCAGCGCUCGACACGCAGCGGCCGCAGCGGCGACUCGUCGGCUGCCGGCGAGGAGGCCGGUCAGCGCGCCGCGCCGCGCACCACCCGCACCAGGGCGGCGGCCACCGAGGAGGCCGCCGAGGCGUCUGGAUCUCGUUCUGUGAACGGUAAGCGGCAGGCGGCUGAGCCGGAGCCGGAGUCUGAGCCGGAGCCGGAGUCGGCCCGGCCGGCGGCCGCCGCCAAGAGGAAGCCGGCGCCGGCCGCCAAGCCGGAGCCGGAGGAACCGAGCCGCAAGUCGGCGCGACACGCCGCGCCAGCUCAGGAGGACGCGGCCGCCGGAAAGAACACACGACUGACGAGGUCGCGAAAAUGAGAGCGGCCGCCGUGAUGGGACCUGACCUGACGAGCGGCGCCCGCCGCGCUGCGCCGCGCCACUGUAUGCCGUGCUGCGCCACUGUAUGCCGCGCCGCGCCUGUUCCGUGCAACUGAGCGAGUUAUGUUAAAGCGUACAAACUUCAGAGUGUUUUUUAAUGCGCGCGCCGCCCCGCCCGUACCGAAUACACACUGUCUGGGGCCGCG
rnacentral:misc_RNA from 1 species